rnacentral:lncRNA from 1 species
UGAUAAUUCACAGCCCGGAAGGAACACUACCUUAUUUAGAUGUGCUGCCCCCAGAAGAGGGGGAAAGAAGGAGGAGGAGGGGGAUGAGAACAGGUAGAGUAAAAGGAGAAGAUGGAAGGCACCGGUGAUUCUGAGAAUUCAAGGACCCUGGCUUGUAGCUGUGUGGACCCCCUGCUCUCUUCCUAUCCCAAACCUUCCUAUUCCACCAGGGUGCCCUUCUACAAGGGCCAGGACCUCCUCCAGGCCACAGCAGUCACCUGGAUAAUGAGGGUUCCAGGAGGCACCCACAACCCUGGAAUUCUCUUUUUUAAAUAAGAGAUCCAGGUGAGAACCAUGAGGAUGGGCACUUGGACGCGAAGAGGUUGCUUUGGCCCGAGCAGCAACAACAUUGGUCACUCAAGCCUUCACCAGGUUCUGCUCCACGCAGAAGGAAGGAAAGCCCAUCUCAUCAGGCCUUGGGCACCAGCAACACAAAUAGUUCCUUGCUAGCAAUACAUUUUCCAAUAUGUUUUUGCUUCUUCCUCUAACGUUUAACCUUGGGUAUAUUUCAAAAGAAACGCAAGUCUGCUUGCUUCUGAUUCAUACUCACUGAGAUCAUCAAAACCAGAAUUAUUUGGUAAUAGCUGCUGGGUUUACUGGAUGCCCUCUGGGAUCUGUAAAAUCUCUAUUCCUCAGAAACAGGAAGUUUCAACAAGAGGAAGGAGGCUGGUUGCAAAAAUCAAAAUUUGAAUCUUCUCCGCCUAUUGGAGAGCCCAGCGUUCAUGGCACUUCCUUCAGUCAGUUAACAAAUGUGGAUUCGGUGCCUACUGUGUGCAGGAACUGGGGACAGAGAUGAUUUUUUUAAGGGG